ensembl:snRNA U6 U6 spliceosomal RNA
UCACUUCAGCAGCACAUGUACUAAAAUUGGAGUGAUACAGAGAAGAUUAGUAUAGGCCCUGAACAAAAUGACAGGCAAAUUCGUGAAGCAUUCCAUAUUUUA